rnacentral:rRNA from 1 species
UGGGGAAUAUUGCACAAUGGGCGGAAGCCUGAUGCAGCAACGCCGCGUGCGGGAUGACGGCCUUCGGGUUGUAAACCGCUUUCGCCUGUGACGAAGCGUGAGUGACGGUAAUGGGUAAAGAAGCACCGGCUAACUACGUGCCAGCAGCCGCGGUGAUACGUAGGGUGCGAGCGUUGUCCGGAUUUAUUGGGCGUAAAGGGCUCGUAGGUGGUUGAUCGCGUCGGAAGUGUAAUCUUGGGGCUUAACCCUGAGCGUGCUUUCCAUACGGGUUGACUUGAGGAAGGUAGGGGAGAAUGGAAUUCCUGGUGGAGCGGUGGAAUGCGCAGAUAUCAGGAGGAACACCAGUGGCGAAGGCGGUUCUCUGGGCCUUUCCUGACGCUGAGGAGCGAAAGCGUGGGGAGCGAACA